GAUGAACGCUGGCGGCGUGCCUAAUACAUGCAAGUCGAGCGAACAGACGAGGAGCUUGCUCCUCUGACGUUAGCGGCGGACGGGUGAGUAACACGUGGAUAACCUACCUAUAAGACUGGGAUAACUUCGGGAAACCGGAGCUAAUACCGGAUAAUAUAUUUAACCGCAUGGUUCAAUAGUGAAAGACGGUUUUGCUGUCACUUAUAGAUGGAUCCGCGCCGCAUUAGCUAGUUGGUAAGGUAACGGCUUACCAAGGCAACGAUGCGUAGCCGACCUGAGAGGGUGAUCGGCCACACUGGAACUGAGACACGGUCCAGACUCCUACGGGAGGCAGCAGUAGGGAAUCUUCCGCAAUGGGCGAAAGCGUGACGGAGCAACGCCGCGUGAGUGAUGAAGGUCUUCGGAUCGUAAAACUCUGUUAUUAGGGAAGAACAAAUGUGUAAGUAACUAUGCACGUCUUGACGGUACCUAAUCAGAAAGCCACGGCUAACUACGUG
rnacentral:rRNA from 1 species